rnacentral:lncRNA from 1 species
UUGCCAAAAAAUCAGCGGGUAUUGUAACGCGUCAAAUGAACGGUGUGUUUCAUAUAUUCUUUGUAGUUGCCCAGUAUUGCGUCGUGUAAGUACAAUAUCACGUGUUUCCAAGUUUUCACCAACAAUCAGGAUUGCCACUUCAUCGAUUGUUUUAGCAUUAAAUGUGCGCUCAUGUGUUCCAGCUGGUCUUUUAUCUGCUCUGAUCACAACUUUAUAGUCAUCACUUGGCAUGCGCUCUAAAGCAGUCUUGAACAG